AGUUCUACUGAGUUAUGGUUAUACUGCGUAACACUAAGUAAAACUGAGUUAGUUAUACCGAGUACGGCUGAGUUAGUAAUACUGAGUUAUACAUAAUCCAAAUUUGAAGAUGAAAUAAACAAAAACACGAAAAAAUUCUGGAAAGGAAAAACAAGAAGAACCCUAAAUCUUGAAAAAAAAUCCCAGAAUCUUAUUUAUCAACCUUAAAUCAGAUAUUAUCAAGAACAAAAUAUCCUAAAUCAAAGGAAAACUCAGAUAUGGAGCGCGAGAAGAAGAAGAAAUCGCCAUUGAACCCAUUUCCAUCAUCUUCAACGGUUGAUGGUACUGUUUCUAUCACUGGUGGAAUUGUUGAGGACGGUUUACAUCACGGACCGAAGUUUUCAUCACUUGCGACGGAUCUCGAAGAACAAAGAGAAGAAGAGAAAGGAGAAGAGAUAGAAAAUUAAAUCGCCAUGGUUGAUAUGUUUUGUUCUUAUCACAAAACAACGAAGAGUGAAAGGUAGAAGAAGAAGAGAAGAAGCGCCGCAGAGAAAUAAAAGAAAGAGGUAAGAAAUAAAAACAGAACUUUCUCGGAUCUGUAUAUUAGGUUUAAGGAAAUAAAUGUCAUUUCGUCAAUUUUUGAAUUAAAAAUAAAUCAA
rnacentral:lncRNA from 1 species